UGCAUUAGGCCGACUUGAGCUAAUCUUGUACAGAAUUACUUUUUGGGACUCAUCCUCCAUUCUCAUCCGGACUUUUUGGGAGUCUAACAGUUUGAUCAAUAACAUUAAUCAAUAAUUUUUCUUCUAUUUACAAGGAACACCAAUCAGCUGGGCCCAGAUGAACUGGAAGCACAACAUACAGCGGCCGUGAGACUAUUUUCUCCUGAACAUUCAAGAUCUCGCCUAACAAGCACACAUCAACUCAUCCCAAGGAAUUGCACAGCAGUUGAAAGGCUCAUUCUUGAACAGCUGGGUGAACUUCACCUUAAAGUGGACCGCUUAACAGCUGCACUACAGUCAAUUGUUGGAAACGGAGCUCCUAAUCCAACACCUCAGGGCAACGACUAUGACAGAAGCCUCCCCAUUUCAACAUUGGAGGAACGA